GGGUUGUGAGGUUAAGCGACUAAGCGUACACGGUGGAUGCCCUGGCAGUCAGAGGCGAUGAAGGACGUGCUAAUCUGCGAAAAGCGUCGGUAAGGUGAUAUGAACCGUUAUAGCCGGCGAUGUCCGAAUGGGGAAACCCAGUGCAAUUCGUUGCACUAUCGUUAACUGAAUACAUAGGUUAACGAGGCGAACCGGGGGAACUGAAACAUCUAAGUACCCCGAGGAAAAGAAAUCAACCGAGAUUCCCCCAGUAGCGGCGAGCGAACGGGGAGCAGCCCAGAGUCUGAAUCAGCUUGUGUGUUAGUGGAACGGUCUGGAAAGUCCGACGGUACAGGGUGAUAGUCCCGUACACCAAAAUGCACAGGUUGUGAACUCGAAGAGUAGGGCGGGACACGUGGUAUCCUGUCUGAAUAUGGGGGGACCAUCCUCCAAGGCUAAAUACUCCUGACUGACCGAUAGUGAACCAGUACCGUGAGGGAAAGGCGAAAAGAACCCCGGCGAGGGGAGUGAAAAAGAACCUGAAACCGUGUACGUACAAGCAGUGGGAGCACCUUCGGGUGUGACUGCGUACCUUUUGUAUAAUGGGUCAGCGACUUAUAUUCUGUAGCAAGGUUAACCGUAUAGGGGAGCCGCAGGGAAACCGAGUCUUAACUGGGCGUUAAGUUGCAGGGUAUAGACCCGAAACCCGGUGAUCUAGCCAUGGGCAGGUUGAAGGUUGGGUAACACUAACUGGAGGACCGAACCGACUAAUGUUGAAAAAUUAGCGGAUGACUUGUGGCUGGGGGUGAAAGGCCAAUCAAACCGGGAGAUAGCUGGUUCUCCCCGAAAGCUAUUUAGGUAGCGCCUCGUGAACUCAUCUUCGGGGGUAGAGCACUGUUUCGGCUAGGGGGUCAUCCCGACUUACCAACCCGAUGCAAACUACGAAUACCGAAGAAUGUUAUCACGGGAGACACACGGCGGGUGCUAACGUCCGUCGUGAAGAGGGAAACAACCCAGACCGCCAGCUAAGGUCCCAAAGUCAUGGUUAAGUGGGAAACGAUGUGGGAAGGCACAGACAGCCAGGAUGUUGGCUUAGAAGCAGCCAUCAUUUAAAGAAAGCGUAAUAGCUCACUGGUCGAGUCGGCCUGCGCGGAAGAUGUAACGGGGCUAAACCAUGCACCGAAGCUGCGGCAGCGACACUAUGUGUUGUUGGGUAGGGGAGCGUUCUGUAAGCCUGCGAAGGUGACCUGUGAGGGUUGCUGGAGGUAUCAGAAGUGCGAAUGCUGACAUAAGUAACGAUAAAGCGGGUGAAAAGCCCGCUCGCCGGAAGACCAAGGGUUCCUGUCCAACGUUAAUCGGGGCAGGGUGAGUCGACCCCUAAGGCGAGGCCGAAAGGCGUAGUCGAUGGGAAACAGGUUAAUAUUCCUGUACUUGGUGUUACUGCGAAGGGGGGACGGAGAAGGCUAUGUUAGCCGGGCGACGGUUGUCCCGGUUUAAGCAUGUAGGCGGAUUGUCCAGGCAAAUCCGGAUAAUCAAGGCUGAGGUGUGAUGACGAGGCACUACGGUGCUGAAGUAACAAAUGCCCUGCUUCCAGGAAAAGCCUCUAAGCAUCAGGUAACAUAUCGUACCCCAAACCGACACAGGUGGUCAGGUAGAGAAUACCAAGGCGCUUGAGAGAACUCGGGUGAAGGAACUAGGCAAAAUGGUGCCGUAACUUCGGGAGAAGGCACGCUGGUGUGUAGGUGUGGAGCUGAGACCAGUCGAAGAUACCAGCUGGCUGCAACUGUUUAUUAAAAACACAGCACUGUGCAAACACGAAAGUGGACGUAUACGGUGUGACGCCUGCCCGGUGCCGGAAGGUUAAUUGAUGGGGUUAUCCGUAAGGAGAAGCUCUUGAUCGAAGCCCCGGUAAACGGCGGCCGUAACUAUAACGGUCCUAAGGUAGCGAAAUUCCUUGUCGGGUAAGUUCCGACCUGCACGAAUGGCGUAAUGAUGGCCAGGCUGUCUCCACCCGAGACUCAGUGAAAUUGAACUCGCUGUGAAGAUGCAGUGUACCCGCGGCAAGACGGAAAGACCCCGUGAACCUUUACUAUAGCUUGACACUGAACAUUGAGCCUUGAUGUGUAGGAUAGGUGGGAGGCUUUGAAGCGUGGACGCCAGUCUGCGUGGAGCCAACCUUGAAAUACCACCCUUUAAUGUUUGAUGUUCUAACGUUGGCCCCUUACCGGGGUUGCGGACAGUGUCUGGUGGGUAGUUUGACUGGGGCGGUCUCCUCCCAAAGCGUAACGGAGGAGCACGAAGGUUAGCUAAUCCUGGUCGGACAUCAGGAGGUUAGUGCAAUGGCAUAAGCUAGCUUGACUGCGAGCGUGACGGCGCGAGCAGGUGCGAAAGCAGGUCAUAGUGAUCCGGUGGUUCUGAAUGGAAGGGCCAUCGCUCAACGGAUAAAAGGUACUCCGGGGAUAACAGGCUGAUACCGCCCAAGAGUUCAUAUCGACGGCGGUGUUUGGCACCUCGAUGUCGGCUCAUCACAUCCUGGGGCUGAAGUAGGUCCCAAGGGUAUGGCUGUUCGCCAUUUAAAGUGGUACGCGAGCUGGGUUUAGAACGUCGUGAGACAGUUCGGUCCCUAUCUGCCGUGGGCGCUGGAGAAUUGAGGGGGGCUGCUCCUAGUACGAGAGGACCGGAGUGGACGCAUCACUGGUGUUCGGGUUGUCAUGCCAAUGGCACUGCCCGGUAGCUAAAUGCGGAAGAGAUAAGUGCUGAAAGCAUCUAAGCACGAAACUUGCCCCGAGAUGAGUUCUCCCUGAGACUUUAAGUCUCCUGAAGGAACGUUAAAGACGAUGACGUUGAUAGGCCGGGUGUGUAAGCGCAGCGAUGCGUUGAGCUAACCGGUACUAAUGAACCGUGAGGCUUAACCUUACAACGCCGAAG
rnacentral:rRNA from 1 species